rnacentral:tRNA from 1 species
AAGGGAGACCUAAUUCAGGUAUAAGACGAAAAAAAAGUAGUCCCAACCAAGAAUCAAUCCCAAAAGGUCGGAGCGAGGCGAAAUUGGCUUUCAAACUAGGUUCUGGGUUCACACAAGACCUGAAUCAGGAACAAGGGCUAUUAGCUCAGGUGGUUAGAGCGCACCCCUGAUAAGGGUGAGGUCCCUGGUUCGAGUCCAGGAUGGCCCACCUGCACAGGUGGCAAAAACAAGAGAAGCGAGGAAUCAGCACCUUAUCUUAUCUAUAUAUAUAUAGGAGAGAAUGCUGGCUCUGAGUAAAGAGUCCAGAGGAACCUCGAAAACUGCAUAGAGCUAGGUGAAAAAGCCAAAAAAGAAGACCGCAA